UACGGAGGGUGCAAGCGUUGUCCGGAUUUAUUGGGUUUAAAGGGUGCGUAGGUGGCCCGUUAAGUCCGGGGUGAAAGCCCACUGCUCAACAGUGGAACUGCCCUGGAAACUGGCGGACUUGAGUACAGACGAGGGUGGCGGAAUGGAUGGUGUAGCGGUGAAAUGCAUAGAUACCAUCCAGAACCCCGAUUGCGAAGGCAGCUGCCUAGACUGUAACUGACGCUGAGGCACGAAAGCGUGGGGAGCGAACAGG
rnacentral:rRNA from 1 species